UUUUUCUAAAUGUUACGUAGAAAAACAGUUUUAGUGAAACAAAUCCGUCGUAAACCAUUCCGAAAUGUGUAUCGAUUGAUUUGCGAAAUGCACGAGUAAAUAAUGGACCGGAUUUUCAACAAAAACAAAUGAAGUAAAGAAGUAUCUAAAUUAAUUAAGUAUCAAAUUUAAUUAUUUUGUACAACAGCAAUAAAAAAAAAAAAAACGAUCGAAUAACGUUGUACUCGUGUCGUUUUAAUAAUAUUAAAGUUACCCAGUCAAUAGAAAUACGUGCACGCUAAACAUUCUGUAAUGGAAUUAAUUCAAUAUCAUCCUCGGCUCCAGUAUAGAUAUAUUGUCAUAAUUAAUUACGCCAUGUGAGUCUUUUUUCCCACGGCUAGUGUGUUCGGCUGUAGAAGAAGAAUUAAUGUUUUUCAUCGGUCUACAAUGGAUAACAAUCGAAUAAGUACCCACUACCCAUAUAACUAUAUAAGACUAUAUUUUUCGAAGACAAUAAAUUUUAGGUGAAAAACAUUUUAUGACUGCGAUCGUUACACUGAUCUUUUCCUAAAAGUCUUGGGAAAAUGUACACUUAAACUCUUGUUGAAAUGUUAUUUCCAAAUAAACGUAUAUCGUAUA